GAUGAACGCUGGCGGCGUGCCUAAUACAUGCAAGUCGAGCGAACAGACGAGGAGCUUGCUCCUCUCACGUUAGCGGCGGACGGGUGAGUAACACGUGUAUAACCUCCCUAUAAGACUGGGAUAACUUCGGGAAACCGGAUCUAAUACCGGAUAAUAUCUUGCACCGCAUGGUUCAAUAGUGAAAGACGGUUUUGCUGUCACUUAUCGAUGGAUCCGCGCCGCAUUAGCUAGUUGUGAAGUUAACGGCUUACCAAGGCAACGAUGCGUAGCCGACCUGAGAGGGGGAUAGGUCACACGGGAACUGAGACAGGGUCAAGACGACUGAGGGAGGGAGCAGUAGGGAAUCGUACGCAAUGGGAGAAAGCAUGACGGAGCAACGCCGCGUGAGUGAUGAAGGUCUUCGGAUCGUAAAACUCUGUUAUGAGGGAAGAACAAAUGUGGAAGUAACUAUGCACGUAUUGACGGUAACGAAUCAGAAAGCCACGGCUAACUACGUG
rnacentral:rRNA from 1 species